UGGGGGACAACGUUUCGAAAGGAACGCUAAUACCGCAUACGUCCUACGGGAGAAAGCAGGGGACCUUCGGGCCUUGCGCUAUCAGAUGAGCCUAGGUCGGAUUAGCUAGUUGGUGAGGUAAUGGCUCACCAAGGCGACGAUCCGUAACUGGUCUGAGAGGAUGAUCAGUCACACUGGAACUGAGACACGGUCCAGACUCCUACGGGAGGCAGCAGUGGGGAAUAUUGGACAAUGGGCGAAAGCCUGAUCCAGCCAUGCCGCGUGUGUGAAGAAGGUCUUCGGAUUGUAAAGCACUUUAAGUUGGGAGGAAGGGUACUUACCUAAUACGUGAGUAUUUUGACGUUACCGACAGAAUAAGCACCGGCUAACUCUGUGCCAGCAGCCGCGGUAAUACAGAGGGUGCAAGCGUUAAUCGGAAUUACUGGGCGUAAAGCGCGCGUAGGUGGUUUGUUAAGUUGGAUGUGAAAUCCCCGGGCUCAACCUGGGAACUGCAUCCAAAACUGGCAACUAGAGUAGGGCAGAGGGUGGUGGAAUUUCCUGUGUAGCGGUGAAAUGCGUA
rnacentral:rRNA from 1 species